UAUGGGGUCGGUUAUGGGGUUAUGGGGUCAGGUAUGGGGUUAUGGGGUCAGGUAUGGGGUUAUGGGGUCACUUAUGGGGUUAUGGGGUCGCUUAUGGGGUCACUUAUGGGGUUAUGGGGUCACUUAUGAGGUUAUGGGGUCACUUAUGGGGUCACUUAUGGGGUCAUGGGGUCGGUUAUGGGGUCAGUUAUGGGGUUAUGGGGUCACUUAUGGGGUCACUUAUGGGGUUAUGGGGUCAGUUAUGGGGUUAUGGGGUCGGUUAUGGGGUUAUGGGGUUGGUUAUGGGGUUAUGGGGUCACUUAUGGGGUCAUGGGGUCAGGUAUGGGGUUAUGGGGUCAGUUAUGGGGUCA